UUCAUAUUCUCGCAUGGCGACAGGAAAGACUAGUAAUUAUUAAGAACUUGGUAUUUCAAUUGCCCUACUCUUGGUACCAUCAAACUGUCUUUCCUGCCGUCCAGUCUUUAAAGAUGGGUAGUUUGCUAACUCCUCCUCCUUCCAUAUGCUUUACUCGAGCGAAAACGGCGACGAGGAGCGAGGCAGCCCGGCCGUCAGGCAGACUCAGAGAGCGACUCGUAGAGAGAGACACAGAGAGAAGAGAGCAGAGACCUCACUCACCUGGGAAGGUUCCUACAAUUUUGAUUCGUCCGACAUGCCUGUCUUAGGCUAAAGGCUUUUAUUGGGAUCCCUGGUCUACGUCACCCUCUUGUGAACAUCUGCCAAAAUCCAUCUGCAACGCCUUUGUGCAUGGUUCGACAAUGGUGAUUUAGCUCUCGGACUAGUAACUCUAGCUUAUUCAUAAAUUCACCUUGUUAACACUUGGGAUGGUGUUUGGUUUCGGUGUAUCGGCCCUUUUAUUUCCUUCCUGAUACUAAUGUAAACCUCAGUUGCUCAAUUGUAAGGUAAUUUUAAGUGGGUUAUUAUUCCUAUGGGUAUAUUUUUCUACAUAAAUGACCAUGACUUUUAGAUACUAAUCUUCCUGAAUAUUUCUUUACAGACAGCGAGCGAAGCAGAACGAAGGAAACGCCCUACGAUCUACGUGAAUUGCCUUGUUCUCCUACCAGUUGUUUAUAACUACGGUACUACGUCAUUUUAAAGGCUUAUUUAUGUAAUAAAUAUCAUUAUUUAAUUACAUUUUUCCUUCCAACCUUUAUUUCAAACCACAGAUUUAUAUGGUGUUCUGCUUAUGGCGCCCAACGUGGGGCAACACGAAGAAAGGUGCUUAAUGAUGGUGCAGAUGAUCCAGUAGAGAAUUGACCACGACUGGGGCUCCCAAUAGUCUCUCAUAUUUCUAUUUGUAGGACAUUGACAUUUUCCUUUCCAGGAUAUUAACAUUUUAUUGGUAUAAAUAUAAUUUUUCUUUCCAGAAAAUUAACAUUUUAUUGGUUUGCAUUUGUUAUACUUUUGUUAUAAUGGCUAACUUACAGGUACUUAUCGGACAACGAAAAGUCAUUCGGAGAAAAGUCACCGAACAAUUCAAUAGGUCUGACACCUAUUCUGCCCUUACACAAGAAGAAAGUUAGCUAUUAAAGGUCUUCUUGUUAAUUAUAGAAACAAGUUGUCAGAGCUAGAUGAUCAAAUCCUCUUGAAGAAAUUUCCUGACAUAUCUGAUGAAGCAGAGUUAGAGCCAGAAUUAACAAGUUGCCAGGAUUAUCUAGACAAAAUUGAGCAUUGUCUACCAUUACUUGAUAUUUCAAGGAGGAAAAAUGAUUCUAAUAAUAUUCCCGACGUGGCCCGCAGUUUACUGAAACAGCCAACAGCUCCUCUUCCUAAGUUUACAAGCAAAGAAGGAGAAGAUUUCUUGAAAUUUAUAGCAGAGUUUGAGGCUACAACUAAUGCAUUUCAG